rnacentral:rRNA from 1 species
GUUAUAUGGUCAAGUGAAGAAGCGCAUACGGUGGAUGCCUUGGCAGUCAGAGGCGAUGAAAGACGUGGUAGCCUGCGAAAAGCUUCGGGGAGUCGGCAAACAGACUGUGAUCCGGAGAUGUCUGAAUGGGGGAACCCAGCCAUCAUAAGAUGGUUAUCUUGUACUGAAUACAUAGGUGCAAGAGGCGAACCAGGGGAACUGAAACAUCUAAGUACCCUGAGGAAAAGAAAUCAACCGAGAUUCCCUUAGUAGUGGCGAGCGAACGGGGACCAGCCCUUAAGUUGUAUUGAGAUUAGCGGAACGUUCUGGAAAGGACGGCCAUAGUGGGUGAUAGCCCUGUACGCGAAAAUCCCUUUGCAAUGAAAUCGAGUAGGACGGGGCACGAGAAACCUUGUCUGAAUAUGGGGGGACCAUCCUCCAAGGCUAAAUACUACUGACUGACCGAUAGUGAACCAGUACCGUGAGGGAAAGGCGAAAAGAACCGCGGAGAGCGGAGUGAAAUAGAUCCUGAAACCGUAUGCGUACAAGCAGUGGGAGCCCACUUUGUUGGGUGACUGCGUACCUUUUGUAUAAUGGGUCAGCGACUUAUUUUCAGUGGCGAGCUUAACCGAAUAGGGGAGGCGUAGCGAAAGCGAGUCUUAAUAGGGCGUCUAGUCGCUGGGAAUAGACCCGAAACCGGGCGAUCUAUCCAUGGGCAGGUUGAAGGUUGGGUAACACUAACUGGAGGACCGAACCGACUACCGUUGAAAAGUUAGCGGAUGACCUGUGGAUCGGAGUGAAAGGCUAAUCAAGCUCGGAGAUAGCUGGUUCUCCUCGAAAGCUAUUUAGGUAGCGCCUCAUGUAUCACUGUAGGGGGUAGAGCACUGUUUCGGCUAGGGGGUCAUCCCGACUUACCAAACCGAUGCAAACUCCGAAUACCUACAAGUGCCGAGCAUGGGAGACACACGGCGGGUGCUAACGUCCGUCGUGAAAAGGGAAACAACCCAGACCGUCAGCUAAGGUCCCAAAGUCAUGGUUAAGUGGGAAACGAUGUGGGAAGGCUUAGACAGCUAGGAGGUUGGCUUAGAAGCAGCCACCCUUUAAAGAAAGCGUAAUAGCUCACUAGUCGAGUCGGCCUGCGCGGAAGAUGUAACGGGGCUCAAACCAUGCACCGAAGCUACGGGUAUCAUCUUUUGAUGAUGCGGUAGAGGAGCGUUCUGUAAGCCUGUGAAGGUGAGUUGAGAAGCUUGCUGGAGGUAUCAGAAGUGCGAAUGCUGACAUGAGUAACGACAAUGGGUGUGAAAAACACCCACGCCGAAAGACCAAGGUUUCCUGCGCAACGUUAAUCGACGCAGGGUUAGUCGGUCCCUAAGGCGAGGCUGAAAAGCGUAGUCGAUGGAAAACAGGUUAAUAUUCCUGUACUUCUGGUUAUUGCGAUGGAGGGACGGAGAAGGCUAGGCCAGCCUGGCGUUGGUUGUCCAGGUUUAAGGUGGUAGGCUGAGAUCUUAGGUAAAUCCGGGAUCUUAAGGCCGAGAGCUGAUGACGAGUGUUCUUUAGAACACGAAGUGGUUGAUGCCAUGCUUCCAAGAAAAGCUUCUAAGCUUCAGGUAACCAGGAACCGUACCCCAAACCGACACAGGUGGUUGGGUAGAGAAUACCAAGGCGCUUGAGAGAACUCGGGUGAAGGAACUAGGCAAAAUGGCACCGUAACUUCGGGAGAAGGUGCGCCGGUGAGGGUGAAGCAUUUACUGCGUAAGCUCAUGCCGGUCGAAGAUACCAGGCCGCUGCGACUGUUUAUUAAAAACACAGCACUCUGCAAACACGAAAGUGGACGUAUAGGGUGUGACGCCUGCCCGGUGCCGGAAGGUUAAUUGAUGGGGUUAGCGCAAGCGAAGCUCUUGAUCGAAGCCCCGGUAAACGGCGGCCGUAACUAUAACGGUCCUAAGGUAGCGAAAUUCCUUGUCGGGUAAGUUCCGACCUGCACGAAUGGCGUAACGAUGGCGGCGCUGUCUCCACCCGAGACUCAGUGAAAUUGAAAUCGCUGUGAAGAUGCAGUGUAUCCGCGGCUAGACGGAAAGACCCCGUGAACCUUUACUAUAGCUUUGCACUGGACUUUGAAUUUGCUUGUGUAGGAUAGGUGGGAGGCUUUGAAGCGUGGACGCCAGUCUGCGUGGAGCCAACCUUGAAAUACCACCCUGGCAACUUUGAGGUUCUAACUCAGGUCCGUUAUCCGGAUCGAGGACAGUGUAUGGUGGGUAGUUUGACUGGGGCGGUCUCCUCCUAAAGAGUAACGGAGGAGUACGAAGGUGCGCUCAGACCGGUCGGAAAUCGGUCGUAGAGUAUAAAGGCAAAAGCGCGCUUGACUGCGAGACAGACACGUCGAGCAGGUACGAAAGUAGGUCUUAGUGAUCCGGUGGUUCUGUAUGGAAGGGCCAUCGCUCAACGGAUAAAAGGUACUCCGGGGAUAACAGGCUGAUACCGCCCAAGAGUUCAUAUCGACGGCGGUGUUUGGCACCUCGAUGUCGGCUCAUCACAUCCUGGGGCUGAAGCCGGUCCCAAGGGUAUGGCUGUUCGCCAUUUAAAGUGGUACGCGAGCUGGGUUUAGAACGUCGUGAGACAGUUCGGUCCCUAUCUGCCGUGGACGUUUGAGAUUUGAGAGGGGCUGCUCCUAGUACGAGAGGACCGGAGUGGACGAACCUCUGGUGUUCCGGUUGUCACGCCAGUGGCAUUGCCGGGUAGCUAUGUUCGGAAAAGAUAACCGCUGAAAGCAUCUAAGCGGGAAACUUGCCUCAAGAUGAGAUCUCACUGGAACCUUGAGUUCCCUAAAGGGCCGUCGAAGACUACGACGUUGAUAGGUUGGGUGUGUAAGCGCUGUGAGGCGUUGAGCUAACCAAUACUAAUUGCCCGUGAGGCUUGACCAUAUAACACCCAAGCAAUU